rnacentral:lncRNA from 1 species
GUCAAACUAUUGUGGGUGAUAACAAAGUUUCAGCUUCACAGAAUCUCUCAGCUACUCAAGGGUUUGACAACAAGUUAUUGUGCAAAUAUGUUACAGAGGAAGCAGUGGAUAAUACAGCAUGGUUGGAUUACCUUGAGCCAGAUUCAGUGUUAGGUGACCAUGAAUUAGCUGCACAGAGCAAUGGUACUUUAGUGACCAAGGAAAUUAACAAAGUUUCACCUUCACAGAUUUUCUCAGAUACUCAAGGGUUUGACAGCAAGUUAUUGUGUGAAAAUGUUACGGAGGAAGCAGUGGAUAAUACAGCAUGGUUGGAUUACCUUGAGCCAGAUGCAAUGUCAGGUGACCAUCAAUUAGCUGGACAAAGCAAUGGUACUUCAGUUGAUACUACAGCAUUAGAAUCAAUAGGUCAAACUAUUGUGGGUGAUAACAAAGUUUCAGCUUCACAGAAUCUCUCAGCUACUCAAGGGUUUGACAACAAGUUAUUGUGCAAAUAUGUUACAGAGGAAGCAGUGGAUAAUACAGCAUGGUUGGAUUACCUUGAGCCAGAUUCAGUGUUAGGUGACCAUGAAUUAGCUGCACAAAGCAAUGGUACUUCAGUGACCAAGGAAAUUAACGAUGAGGUUGCUUUGGAGAAUGCUGUCUUAUUGCAGAACGCCUUGGAAUUUAGUAGGCAGGAU